AAAAAAAAAAAAAGAAUAAAAAAGUGUGAGAGAGGGUCGUAAGCAAGGGGGUGAUAUUUUAUUUAUCACAAAAGGCUUCUGUAGUAAGGUGACCUAAAUAGAGUGAGACCCAUCCAUUUAUCAUCCCUAUAAAAUAAAGAUCACUAUCGUAACUUACAAGAGGAAGUGAGGAAGAGACACAAGUAUAGUGACACCAAGGAAAGACAGUCAUGUGACAACGGAGCUGGAGACUGGGGUUACGCAUCUACAAACCAGGGAAUGCGGUGGAUUGCUGGACACCACAGAAUGAGGAGAGAGGCACAGGACAGAUACAGCCUCAGACCCACAGAAGAAAACAACCCUGCUGACUCGUUGAGCUCAGCUUUCCAGCCUCCAAGCAGUGAGAGAAGACACUUCUGUUGCUUGAGACACCCGGUUUGUGGUACUUUGUUAUGACAGUCCUGGGAAACUAACAGUUCCUUAUUUACAGAUGAAGAAGCUAUGGCUUGGACUUUGUGUAACUUAUCCAAGUUUACAGGACUGAUGCGGGAUAAAUAAGGACUAGAAUUUCAAGCCAUUCUGCCCUGGCACACACAUGUCCUCUUCACCUGCUUCUGUCAGGACUGACGUAUAAGUCAAGAUUCUCAAGAGAAACAGAAACAAUAGAACACGCCUGCAUGCACGCACGGAGAGAUUUAUUAGAAGGAAUUUUCUCAUGCUAUUAUGGAUACUAAGAAGUCACUGAGUCUGCCACUUACAAGCUGGAGACUUAGGAGAAUGGAUGGUGUGAAGAAACAGAGGCAGAAAUGGGCAGAUGACUUACUGAAGGCCACGCAGCUGUACACUUGUAGGAAAGAUGGG
rnacentral:lncRNA from 1 species